GUUCUCGCCGGUGACUCUCAUCAUACUCCAUCCUCCAACUUUUUGUGCUCCAGCCUUUUCAUAGACUUCAAUGGCUCUCUGGUUCCAAUCAAGGACCUAGGGUAUUAGUCAAGGUAUAAAAAAAGAAAUGGGUUAUAAACAACUUACAACCCAGUCAAGACGUCUGCCACCAAUUCUAAGUGAUUCUCGUGCUAAAUAAGACAGUAAGUAGCUUCCAUAUCCUUUUCCACGGAAUUGGGGUCGAACAUAUAAGUCCUCCUAAGAAAUUGAAUGGUUAAAAUCUUGCUAUGAAAUCAAAAGUUAAUCCUUCAAUAAAAAGGUUAUGAAGGACAAUAUGAUAAGAACAUACUAAAUAAAUCCCCACUCUGCUAGUCCACGUGCUAUUCAACGUCAGCUCAUAUAUUUCAAAACGGAACUUUUCACUACCUAAAAUUUAGGAAAUAUAUAGCCAUUCCUGCGGGCUGAUGGCAAUUAUAGAUUAGUAAAAAAGAUCAAGCAAGUUUACUUUUUUUUACGAACCUGAUCAUUUUCUUCGAUGAAUACUCCAUAUGCCACAGGAGUAACCUCGUCAAUAAAUCCAAAUGCAACUUCUAAAUUCGGAAUUGUCGCUUCCACUUGAUCUUCACAUUUUUCAAAUUCUUCAUAAACAAAAUGUUAAAACCGGUUUUUAAAUAGUAACACAAACUGAUCUGAUAGCAUGCGGACAGAAGUAGAGAUCGACCCUGCUGACGAAAACCAUAUAUUCUCAAAUCCAUAUAAAAAGCUUAAGAGUAAUCUCCAAUUCAAUAAGAGAAUCAGACCCUGUGAGUCUGGGAUACUGGCAAAAGCUCUAGCCUUUUAAUAGAAUCUACACGACUUCGUCCUCUUGGUCAUAACGGCGCUUACCUGCCAAUUCUUUAAUAAACUGAUAAACGGUCGGAAGAUCUUCUUUAAUGACAGAGCGAAUGCGAACUGAACCCAUGUUUUGAAUUAAUUGGUUUACUUGGUGUGCAGUGCUAACAGUAAAUAAUAUGCGUGGCCUAAUGGUAGUUUAUUGUCUAGCGCACUUUAAACUGAUGAGAUCUCAUCAUAUUAUUUUUGGAAUGCCAAAUACGGGUAGAAACUAAUCUAGUAUGUUCCAUUUACCUUUUUAUGUUUGGGAAUGAAUAAUCCGCUUUUCUACUGAACGAUUAUUAAAUACUACCUUGAAAGCUAAAGCAACUCAUAAUAAUGAAACAUUAAUUCAGUAAACAA